GAAACGCAUAAUGUUCCCUCAACUUGAUCGAUUAUGCCCUCAAUAUGAUGAAUCUGAGUUGAGAUUCUAAAUGUUUAGACUCUGUACAAUAAGGUAAAUACUUGAAUAUCAGUUUUCCAUUACGUAUGCUGGAGCAGAGAACGUGCAAGCAAUUACAAAAUCCAGGUAUUUGCCAUGACUGCUUAUGCAAAAAAGGAAAUCGUACUCCAGAUAUUUAGCAACAGCACAAGGACAAUCUACGAGCAUGAAUAACUCAAAGUAAUCAUCUUUUACAUCCCCCCAAUUAUGAAACAUAGCAUCAACAUGAAAGGAAUAAUAGAAAUGCCGAUUCACAUCAGCCCCCACUUGUUGCAUGAAGCUAUUUAUGGUUGAUAAAUACUAGCUAAGUCUCCUAAUAGUGCGCAUGUUCACAGCAGCCAGUUUAGGCACAUUCUGUGCAACCAACCCACAAACUUCUAGCCCCUUCAACCAUAUGCAGCAGACCUCAAAUUACCAAUGGAAAAUACGACUGCUCAAGAAGAGAACCAAGAAGAGAAGCACUGUUCGCUUCAUUUUCAAUCAUUAAAGCCCCUCACAGGUAAUAAAGAGACAAUGGAUACUCAUUAAGAUGAUCAUUUUUCAAACCUUAGAAUAUACUUAACAGACAAACCCUUUGUGGGAAGACGCUCAACAUCCUGCGUAGAAAGUUUUGUGCGCUCUGCAAUAACAUUCAUGGGGAUGGUUCGAUUCUUAGAUGGUCGACUACAAACAUCUACAUUGCCAUUCUUUAACGAAGCUGUAAACUCUGUUUCCCAAAUUUUGUAACUCUCUAAUCUUAAGUCAGCUCACCAAAAUACCCAUAAUUCUUGUAAUACCCCAACUAACAGAUGCACAGAAGCAUAGCAACAUGAAUAAACUAUGAAGCUAUUACCAUAUGAAGCUAGAGCUCGAACUCAUGCUUCACUGCACAAAGUUGAUCACAUUCAACUAAACACCAACUGCCACACUGCUCGUACCUGUUCUUCAGCGAUUAGCUGGUGAUCCAGAGCUUGAGUUCAGGCCCAUCCGUCCUGCCACUGGUGGAGUUAAUGAAUGCAAUCAAUGGAGCCUCAUGUAGCACCCGAAUUCCUCCAGCCGAGCAGUUCUGAAGAAGAAGACUU
rnacentral:lncRNA from 1 species